rnacentral:rRNA from 1 species
UACAGAGGGUGCGAGCGUUGUCCGGAAUCACUGGGCGUAAAGGGCGCGUAGGUGGCCCGACAAGUCGCUGGUGAAAGCUCGACGCUCAACGUCGAGUCGGCCAGUGAUACUGUUGGGCUGGAGCACUGUAGAGGCUCAUGGAAUUCCGGGUGUAGCGGUGGAAUGCGUAGAGAUCCGGAAGAACACCGGUGGCGAAGGCGGUGAGCUGGGCAGUUGCUGACACUGAGGCGCGACAGCGUGGGGAGCAAACAGG